AUUGAACGCUGGCGGCAUGCUUUACACAUGCAAGUCGAACGGUAACAGGCCGCAAGGUGCUGACGAGUGGCGAACGGGUGAGUAAUGCAUCGGAACGUGCCCAGUCGUGGGGGAUAACUACUCGAAAGAGUAGCUAAUACCGCAUACGAUCUAUGGAUGAAAGCGGGGGACCGUAAGGCCUCGCGCGAUUGGAGCGGCCGAUGUCAGAUUAGGUAGUUGGUGGGGUAAAGGCUCACCAAGCCAACGAUCUGUAGCUGGUCUGAGAGGACGACCAGCCACACUGGGACUGAGACACGGCCCAGACUCCUACGGGAGGCAGCAGUGGGGAAUUUGGGACAAUGGGCGCAAGCCUGAUCCAGCAAUGCCGCGUGCAGGAAGAAGGCCUUCGGGUUGUAAACUGCUUUUGUACGGAACGAAACGGCUCUGGUUAAUACCCGGGGCUAAUGACGGUACCGUAAGAAUAAGCACCGGCUAACUACGUG
rnacentral:rRNA from 1 species